UAAAAUAUUUCUGCAUUUGAAUUCUCUGUG
rnacentral:piRNA from 1 species